CGAGCAGACUGUGUGGCAGCGCUGUACAAUUACGGUGAGGAAAGUCCGAGCAUCACAGAGCAGGGUACCUGCUAACGGCAGGCGGAGGCGACUCUAGGGAAAGUGCAACAGAAAGAUACCGCCGGAGCAAUCCGGUAAGGAUGGAAAGGCGAGGUAAGAGCUCACCGGA
rnacentral:RNase_P_RNA from 1 species